rnacentral:lncRNA from 1 species
ACGUGCCUCGUAACCGUUCCUCUCCACCACCUUCCACGUGGCACCCACCUUCAUCUUUUCUCACGCCUUCUCCUUUCCCUUCCCAAUUAAAAAAAAAAAGCACUCUGAAAAUCCCAACAUCAACAUCGCCAUCGCCAACUCCAAACUCUUUUCAUAAACUUCCCAAACAACACAUCAUUCAUUCUCCCAUGGCGGAAGCAAACACUCGUCACCACCGCGCAACCUCUUCUUCCAGUGACAUCUCAGUCUAUUUGGACGCCGACCACUCUUCUGUUCCCGCUGCUUCUUUCGGUCCUAUUGACAGGAAUCCAUCAUCCUCUACGCCGCCGUCGUCGUCGCGGAACGCCGCCGCUGCACCGGCUAAUCAAGUUAACGAUAAGAACGCUGCUGCUGCUGUUGCUAAAGUUGUUGGUAGGAGCAAGGGAAGCAGUGCAAUGGCGCUUGCCAAGUUCCUUGACGAGAAAGUUCCCUUCAGGGAAAAGAUGCAAUGGAUAAAACAGGCUUCCAUACUUAAGGAUGACGGUACAGUUGGAAUUAAAGUUCCAGGAGCAGGAAGUAAUAUUGAGCAUGAUGUUAAAUGCAAUGAAUCUUAUGAUGAAAUUUACAAUGCAAUACACAGUCAGGAUAUUCAGCCUAUUGAGCCACUUCAAAUCGUAAUGCUUAUAGUUGGCACACGGGGAGAUGUCCAGCCAUUUGUUGCCAUGGGGAAGCGUCUUCAGGAAGAUGGCCACAGGGUUAGGCUAGCUACUCAUAAAAACUUUGAAGAUUUUGUCAUGAAUGCAGGCUUGUAGUUUUACCCUUUGGGUGGAGAUCCCAAAGUUCUCGCUGGUUAUAUGGUCAAGAAUAAAGGCUUCUUGCCAUCGGGACCUUCAGAAAUACAUAUACAAAGAUAUCAAAUCAAGGAUAUUAUUAAUAGUUUGCUCAAUGCAUGCGACAGUCGUUACCCAGAGUCUAAUGCCCCAUUUCAAGCAGAAGCGAUAAUUGCCAAUCCUCCAGCAUAUGGGCAUACUCAUGUAGCUGAAUAUCUAAAUGUUCCACUUCACAUAUUCUUCACAAUGCCAUGGACGCCUACUAGUGAAUUUCCUCAUCCUCUUUCCCAUGUUAAGCAACCAAUUGGCUACAGACUCUCAUAUCAAAUAGUUGAUGCUUUAAUCUGGCUUGGAAUGCGAGACUUGAUAAAUGAGUUUAGGAAGAAAAAGCUGAAGCUAAAGCCUAUUACUUAUCUAAGUGGAUCUUACACUCACCCUUUUGAUGUGCCCCAUGGUUAUAUAUGGAGCCCUCACUUGGUCCCUAAACCAAAAGACUGGGGACCUAAGAUUGAUGUCGUUGGAUUUUGUUUCCUUGACCUUGCUUCAAAUUAUGUACCACCAAAAUCGCUAGUAGAUUGGCUUGAAGAGGGAGAAAAACCUAUUUAUGUUGGAUUUGGUAGCCUUCCUUUACAAGAACCAGAGAAAAUAACACGAAUUAUAAUUCAAGCACUGGAAGAAACAGGGCAGAGAGGUAUCAUCAACAAAGGCUGGGGUGGUCUUGGGUCUUUGGCAGAACAAAACAAAUCUGUGUAUUUAUUGGACAACUGUCCACAUGAUUGGCCGUUUCCCCGAUGCACUGCAGUGGUACAUCAUGGGGGUGCCGGAACAACUGCCACGGGUCUUAGAGCUGAAUGUCCGACAACUAUUGUACCAUUCUUUGGGGACCAGCCAUUUUGGGGAGAUCGGGUGCAUGCUAGAGGAGUAGGUCCUGCACCCAUCCCGGUGGAUGAGUUUACAUUUGAUAGGCUGGUUGAUGCCAUACGCCUUAUGCUGAAACCAGAGGUGAAAAAGCGUGCUGUUGAACUUGCUAAUGCCAUGAAAAAUGAAGAUGGGGUGCUAGGAGCGGUUAAAGCCUUCUAUAAACAUUAUCCGCCCGAAAAAUCAAAGUUCGAUGACGCCAAGUCCAAGCAAUUAGCCUCCACAGCCGAACCCAAACCAGUUCAUAAAUAUUUCUCUAUACGAGGAUGCUUUGGUUGCUCUAAAUCUUCUGGAUAUAAAUAGCUUUCUUCAUGCAUCGACCAUAAAAAAAAUGCAUACAAAAAAAAGCUGUCUUCAUACAGCAUACUUGUCCAUGUAACCAUGUUCGUUCUUUUGGUCUAAUUCUGAUAUAUCAGCAAUUGUGAAAAGUAAAUUGCCCCGGUGAUUUUGUUGAGUUUGAGCUUCACCAGAAGCAUUUCUGAAGGUUCCAGUAUGUCAAGAGCUUGCUACUUUACUUUUUUUCUUCUUUUAGUGUAAGGUUUGUAUGAUAAUACCCCUCAACAUUAACCAGUGUUUUGUAGAAUAUAACUAAUCAUCUUCUUUGCAAUAUUUUAUGGACAAGAAGUGUGCAAACUUGUUGGGUU